UCUCUUCUUUCUCUCUCUAGAAAACUCUCUCUACCUUCUCUCUAAUUUCUUUUCUCCAAACACCAAAACCACAGCCUCUUAACCACGAAAUUAUGGAGAUUCAUAAGGGUUUUUCAAGCCACAAAUAAAUUUAAGGAAUCGAUAGUGGUACCAGUGGAGCGUAGAUCAAUGCAUCAUUUGCAUCAUCUCAAUGCAUAUUGAAUCAUCGAGUACGUGGCACUUAGGGACACUUCACUUUUAGGAGCAUUCGCAUGUGUUGUAUUUCUAUUUUCAUUGUAAUUUCUUGUAAAAGUUGUUCAAACCCAUUGUAAAUUUGUAAUGAUUUUUAAUACUAUG